rnacentral:tRNA from 1 species
GCCUGAGUAGCUCAGUUGGUUAAGCAGCCAACUCUUGGUUUCAGCUCACAUCAUGAUCUGAUGUUUUGUGGGUUCAAGCCCCAUAUCAGGCU